rnacentral:rRNA from 1 species
UACGUAGGGCGCAAGCGUUGUCCGGAAUUAUUGGGCGUAAAGAGCUCGUAGGCGGUUUGUUACGUCCGCUGUGAAAACCCAGGGCUUAACCCUGGGCUUGCAGUGGAUACGGGCAGACUGGAGUACUGCAGGGGAGACUGGAAUUCCUGGUGUAGCGGUGGAAUGCGCAGAUAUCAGGAGGAACACCGGUGGCGAAGGCGGGUCUCUGGGCAGUAACUGACGCUGAGGAGCGAAAGCGUGGGGAGCGAACAGG